rnacentral:rRNA from 1 species
AGCGUAGGCGGACAUUUAAGUCAGGGGUGAAAUCCCGGGGCUCAACCUCGGAAUUGCCUUUGAUACUGGGUGUCUUGAGUAUGAGAGAGGUGUGUGGAACUCCGAGUGUAGAGGUGAAAUUCGUAGAUAUUCGGAAGAACACCAGUGGCGAAGGCGACACACUGGCUCAUUACUGACGCUGAGGCUCGAGAACGUGGGGAGCAAACA